rnacentral:piRNA from 1 species
UGGCCAAUCAAUACAACAUCAAGGUUCA